GUCUGAAUGAAGGUUACAGACACUCAGAGACAGAGCAGGAGGAACCCAACCCAAACACAUCCUGACAGACAUAGAGCAAUCUAUGAAUAACAAAAAAAUCCCAAAGCUAGGUACAGAUCGGUUUCUCCGAACAGCCAGGCCUUUGGUGAACAAGAGUUAUUGCUUUGAACUACAGAAGGCGUGAGGAAGAACAGGCCUGAAGAUAAGCAAACAAGCAGUUACUAGGUGAAGACCCUCUCAUCUCAGCUGCCAAGACAACGAGAGCAAGGCAUCUCCUUUAAGAGUCACUCAGCGCUAACAAGACAGACGUAGAGAGGGAGUAAAAAGAAGAAGAAGAGAGGGAGGGUGGGUGGAGAGCCAGAGAGAAUUGGCGCUCAAGUGUGAGCGAGAGAGAGCACGCAGAACACAGCGUGCAAGUGUCUCCUCUAACCAUUGGCACUCUGAUACAUUUCAAAGCCUCGCACCUCGCAGUGAAGAAUCUGACAGAACGCGGGUAGCAUCUGAGACUUGUACUCGAGCAGACGGCUGAACGAAUGGGCUUUUAUUUAAGGAGCAACAGUUCAGAAGGACUCGUCUGAGGCGGCUGUCAUUGAGGAUGAAUUUCUGAGAGUCCUGCUGGGUAAGAAGGAUCCAAAUAGUGACUUAAGAUUUUACAAUUGCCCAGAAAGCCAAAAAGGCACCGGAAAUUCGCAAUGGAUGAAUGUCCUUGGAUUUGUUGGCAAAGCUGAUCUGUUUCUCAGUUUGCUGGUGCAUUUGGGUCUCUGAGAUUCUGCUUUAAGAGGACGAGUUUGUAAGGAGUUCUGGUACAGUUCUGUUCCACGCUGGACCACACAACCUAUCUGCAGGAGGUCUGGAGAGCAUGGGGAAAUCAAACAGCAAGCUCAAACCUGAGGUGGUGGAGGAACUAACCAGGAAGACCUACUUUACAGAGAAAGAAGUUCAGCAAUGGUACAAGGGCUUUAUAAAAGAUUGCCCGAGUGGUCAGCUUGAUGCUGCAGGUUUCCAGAAGAUCUACAAACAGUUCUUCCCCUUCGGCGACCCCACCAAGUUCGCCUCAUUUGUCUUCAAUGUUUUUGAUGAGAACAAGGAUGGACGGAUUGAGUUCUCAGAGUUCAUUCAGGCCCUGUCUGUGACCUCACGUGGGACUUUGGAUGAAAAGCUCCGCUGGGCCUUCAAGCUUUAUGAUCUUGAUAACGAUGGCUAUAUCACACGUGAGGAAAUGCUCAAUAUCGUAGAUGCAAUCUAUCAGAUGGUGGGAAACACAGUGGACCUUCCAGAAGAAGAAAACACGCCGGAGAAGAGAGUGGAUCGCAUUUUUGCCAUGAUGGAUAAAGUACUGAUGUCCUUUCUUCUUGACCCCAAUCACACAGAACCAGUUAAUAAUCCAAACCAAAACCCAGUGUUAUUAUGCAGAGGGCUGUUUAUUUUAUUAAAUUAGUGGAUUUAUUUUAUAAUAAAUCACCUAAGCAGACUAAAGACUAUAUAUUUUCUUGGUUUUGGAAAAGAAAGAAAUGUGCACAGAUUUGUAAUGACAUGAGGGUGAAUUAAUAAUGACAGAAUUGUCAUUUAUCGGUGGAAUAUUCCUAAAAACCUAAGGAUUUUUUUGCAGUCCAAACUCAACAGUAAUGAUGAUCGAUCAACCAUCACUAAAACCAUCAAAAAAGUCACUCAUUUAUAGCUCUGAUACAAUUUACUAACCACAUUCUCAUCAUCAAUCCAGAUUAAGGAUAGAGUAGGAAAUAAGAGCUCAUAUCUGUGGUAAAGCUAGCGUCACUAACGCUGCCCUCGGGUCUAUAAACGCCAUUUUGGCAUGCGCUACUACUAACAUUGGAGCCUAGCAUUAAUGCCCACUCAAGCCCUCUUCAAGCCCUGAAAGAUGAGAUCAGGACUUGUUUGGGAAUGUUGACAGAGAUGGAAUGCUUUCCAAUACUGUAGCAAUCUCAGAUAAGAACUGCACCCAAUGAGGAACCAGCGGGGUUAUUUUAAGGACUUAGUGCUUCUUCAAGUACUACACUGAGCCACAUAAGGUGAAAGAAACGUUUUCAUAGCCUACUCUGUUGUGAAUGUUUCUUCAUUGGAUCAGACUGCUAGCACUCGCCCCCUGCUGGGCACGUGGAGCAUCUUAAAAGUGGGAGAGUGUUCUCCUCAUGCAUAACUGAAAAUCCUCAUGGCUGUUUUUUUAGUAUCCUCCAGUUUGUAAACUGAUGUAACCUUAAAGUCUAUUCCACAUUCGUUUGAAGUGUCAUGCAUUCGCAUAAAACCACAAACGACCUUAAAAUAAUACAUAGUUGUUUGUACUCAGCAUUUGAGACGGUUGUGAUUCUAAACAGUGUUUGUUUGUUUACCCAGAAUGCUGAUGGGAAGCUGACCCUGCAGGAGUUCCAGGAGGGAUCAAAGGCAGAUCCCUCUAUUGUCCAAGCUCUGUCACUCUAUGAUGGCCUCGUAUAGUAACAGGUACGUCAAAGGAUCCAGUGCGGUGCCGUCCCACAAUGCCAUUCAAGAAGAUGAGUCUUUGUUGUUUGAUCUCUCAUUCUGGACACUUCUGGAGACUGAGAAGUCUCACCACAAGCAAAUCACAUUUCAUCCAGCAAUGACAGAAAAAAAAACUUGUGCGUGUGUGCGUGUGAGUGUGCGUGUGAGUGUGCGUGUGUGUGUGCGUGUGUGUGUGUGUCUGUGUGUGUGUGAAUGCUAAACUGCAGGAUCCCAUUGGAACUCCACCAGUGCUUGUUUUCUGCCGAAUAAACAUACUGGAGAGUAUAUGGAUGGCACUGAUUGUUAAAGAAAAGCAUGCUGGAGAACCUACAGUAAAUUAGAAAUGUAAAUAUGUGUAAACAUUUCAUAUUUUUUAAUCAUACUUUGCUGGGAUAUUGUGGAUGUGCGCCUCAUAUAUAAUUUAAGAGACUGUUGGUAUUUUAUUUAUUUCUUGUUUACUUUAAAGUAUAUGCAUCGCAGCUGUUACAAGCCUGAACAUUUCUAACAGCCUCUUGGAAUGAAAGACUGUAAUCCUGUUUUGCUUUUUCUUUGGAACUUUGAAUGUGAAUUAAUUUAUUAUAUUUGCGGAAGACAGCUCCCAUUGUGAAGAGUGCGCUGCCCAUUCAUUGCUGGCAAAAGUCACUGCAGAGUCCUCAAGCUACUUUUGAAAUAAGGCACAGUAACCAAGCAACAUGCUACAAUGUUAUCACUGAACAGUUGCUCCUCGAAACUGAUGUAAGUACCUUUGUAAUGAAGAAACAAUCAGUCUACCAUCUGCUAACUUCAACUACACCUCUGCCUUUGUCUUUUCCUGUGUCAUUUUCCUGUCAAACUAAAGUCAUAGACUUGAACCAUGACACUCCUCUCAAAGAAAGUAAUUGGGUAUGUGCUGGGUAGGUUUGAGUGGGUCUCAUGCUUUAUCAGUCGCUCUCUGGCUGAUGAUUAAAUUUGAGUCACUGCAUAA